rnacentral:rRNA from 1 species
UACGUAGGUGGCUAGCGUUGUCCGGAUUUACUGGGCGUAAAGAGCGCGCAGGCGGUCGUUCAAGUCGAGUGUGAAAGCCCCCGGCUCAACUGGGGAGGGUCAUUCGAUACUGCUCGACUCGAAGGCAGGAGAGGGAAGCGGAAUUCCCGGUGUAGUGGUGAAAUGCGUAGAUAUCGGGAGGAACACCAGUGGCGAAGGCGGCUUUCUGGCCUGUUCUUGACGCUGAGGCGCGAAAGCUAGGGGAGCAAACGGGG